rnacentral:sRNA from 1 species
AUUAUUAUGUACAAGUAUUUAUUGUCAAUAUCAACGAGUUAUAAAAAUACCCUCUUUGGUAACAGUUCAAUGUACCGGUAUAUUCCUUGCAAAGACUAAAUAUACAACGCGUGUUUCUUAUUUAAAGAUUUCAAGAGUCCGAGUACAACAGCAACAAAAUGUCUUAUAAUUUAUGUAUAAAUGUAUGUUUACAUGUACCAUUGCAAUGUUUCAAAGUAUCCAACUAACAAUGUGAUAGUUAUCUUGAAAGAAGCCAGAGAUGAUUAAAGGCUGUACUGUC